AUGUGGGCAGGCUGCCGUCAGUUCUCAUUUGCCUCCUGCACCAUGGCGAGCAUGUUUCCCAUCACUGUGUUUCUGUUGCUAAUUUACGCAGGAAUCUCACAAGGACAAAAUUUGACAACAUCAACAGUAACAGCUUCCACGUCGUCAUCAACAAAAGUGUCUACAUCAUCAUCAGCAGCAGCAGCUGCAGACACAUCCCCAAGCGCCCCUGUCAGUCCUGCUCUCACUACCACUAGCACUGCCUUAGCAGCUAGUGAGGCUAAGACAACAUCGGAAGCUGCAGCUACAGGUCAUCACUCCACACAACCAACGCAGCCUGCACAGUCCAGCGCCACAGCCAGUCACAAUGCCUCUGACUCCGCCAUCACAGAGGUGGCUGCUACACACACACCCUCUGUGAGUCAGGACUCCGCCGUCACAGAGGUGGCUGCUACACACACACCCUCUGUGAAUCAGUCAACACUCUCUCCAAACUCCUCGGCCUCCGGCAGACCCACGGCACGUGGACCACUCGUCUCGAGCACGAGCUCAAACACGGGUACAGCAAAGCUACUGUACAGGAGCCCAGGACUGGUAGCGGUUUUGUGCAUAUUCGUCAUCAUUCUGGCCUUACUGUUGGUGAUUGGGCUAACAAAGGGCUUGACCUCCAGUAAUUCAAAGUUUGAAAGACUGGAAGAAGUACCAAUGGGCAAAAUGAAUGAGGAAUCUCCAUUUGCACAGUACCCACCCAAAUGAACAAGUCAACUCAUGAGGCAUGACAGAGAGGACAAAUAAUUACUUCGAAAUAUUACUGUGUACAUGUGUAAACAAGUGUUUAUGAGGCAAAAUAAAUCAAAUAAAGGAUAAAUAAAAAAUAUGUUC
rnacentral:lncRNA from 1 species